GAUGAACGCUGGCGGCGUGCCUAAUACAUGCAAGUCGAGCGAACGGACGAGGAGCUUGCUCCUCUGACGUUAGCGGCGGACGGGUGAGUAACACGUGGAUAACCUACCUAUAAGACUGGAUAACUUCGGGAAACCGGAGCUAAUACCGGAUAAUAUAUUGAACCGCAUGGUUCAAUAGUGAAAGACGGUUUUGCUGUCACUUAUAGAUGGAUCCGCGCCGCAUUAGCUAGUUGGUAAGGUAACGGCUUACCAAGGCAACGAUGCGUAGCCGACCUGAGAGGGUGAUCGGCCACACUGGAACUGAGACACGGUCCAGACUCCUACGGGAGGCAGCAGUAGGGAAUCUUCCGCAAUGGGCGAAAGCCUGACGGAGCAACGCCGCGUGAGUGAUGAAGGUCUUCGGAUCGUAAAACUCUGUUAUUAGGGAAGAACAAAUGUGUAAGUAACUAUGCACGUCUUGACGGUACCUAAUCAGAAAGCCACGGCUAACUACGUG
rnacentral:rRNA from 1 species